CCAGGAGGGGCUGGGCACACACAAAGGCCUCAGCCCCCCUCCCCACCCUGCUGGCAGCUGCCUCUUUGUCCCCAGCUCUCAGCCUAGGAGAGACCCCAAGAGGCCCCUCUGAGGCCUUGGUGAGGCCUGGGCUUCCUUCCCAGGAAGUGGAUGGAGUGGGGGAAGGGAAGGAAGCAGCCCUCUCCCCGGCUUUGCUCCUGUUAAGUCACCGCACCUGUCGAGGUGCAGACUCUACCCCAGAUGCCAUGCUGGGCCCCGUGGCAGCUGUGGGGCUCUCGGCCCAGUGCAGGGGUCUGUGUUCAGCUGUCUGUCUGGGUCCCCAGGUCAAGCCAGCAAGCUUGAGGGGUGGGAGGCUGCAGGAAGGGGAAGGGGAGCCUGAGGUGUUAGGAGGCAGCCCAGGCAGCGGCAGGCAGCUCAGCCCCUGGCCUGGAGUGGGCUCGGUCACGGGAGGGGCUCUGGGGGUGAUAUUCCUUACCCUCAGCUGCUGAAACCAGUAUCUCUCUGGAUCCCAUGACGCCUGGCAGGUGUAUUUGUGCAUUUGUCUGUGUGCAUACGUGUGUGUGGCGUGUGGUGGGGUGAGGGGCUGGCAGGCCUGGGCACCCCUGGCACUUCCCCAUUGGCUCUCAAGGAAACCCCACAAACCCAGCUGGGGAGCUCCUGUGGGUACCGUACUCCAUAGGGCAUGUGGGCUGAGGCUCAGAGAGGGCAAGUCAGUUUGCCCAAAGCCACCCAGCCCCCAAGGGGUGGGGCUGUGAGAAACCUGCCCCUCUUCUGCCUUCCUGCUUUUCCCAACUGCCCACAUGAAGGUGAGGUGAAGGCGGGUCACCUCCUCCAGACUGCACUAGGCAUCUCCUGUGCAGGGACCAGGGAGCCAGCCCAGUGGGGGUCAGCGGAGAUACAGCAGAGUGACAAAAGCUGUGAAAAGCAGCAGUGGGGAACCCGAGAGCGCAAAAGGGUGGCGACAUUGCCUGGUGGGCGCUGCAGCUGCAUUUAUCCAGCGCCUGCCCUCUGUCGGGCCCAGCACAGGGGGGAUCCAAACACGUUCCUGGACUGCAAGGAAUGUGCAGUUUAGCUGGGACCCCGGAAACCACCAUUAGAUCAGAGACAGGCUAGCUGCCGUCCUGGGAUGUCAGUCACUUAGGGCUGUAGGGUGGAGGCCGCCCAGUGGGACUGAAGGUGCUAGAGGGGGCACUGCGAGGGCAAAGCCCUGGUGGCUGGACCCAGGAGCUCCGUCGCCAUCUAUGGGACUCAAAGGAUUGGCUCAGACCUCCCUCGCCUGCCCGCAGAGCCCGCUGCCCCAGCCGCCAGCUGGCAGCCCUCAGGCCUGGAGCUCCUUAGCAGUCUCUCCACGGAGGGAGGAAGUGGAGCCCAAGGGAGAAAACAAAACCCCUCAUCUUGUCCCAGACAAACAGAGGCCAGGCUGGACACUGGCGACGGCCGCAGGGGGCUCGGGGCCCUGCCAGGUGUGGCCGCAAGCAGAGCCAGCCUCGCCCAGGCUGGGCUCGAGGUGGGGGUGCUGAACACAAGGGCUGGGGACAGGGCAGGGAGUGGAGGGCCAGGGUCCCACCAAAAGCUCUAAGCUCUGGCCAGGACCCCCUGGGCGCCCUGCACUCGGACCUGGGGGACAGGCCAGGAAGCGUGACCAGAGGAGGCAGAGGCAAGGGGGAGGUGGCCGGCCCGGAGAGCUGGGUCAGCCCAGGUGCAGGCACCCCCACUGGCCACCCUCUGCCUGGACUCCCAGCUCGUGGGCCUGGACCACAGAGGGUGCUGGGAGGGGGAGCUGGGCAGCCAGUGCACCUUGAUGUCCCUGCCAGGCCGCCGGGCAGGGGAUGGGGGUGGCCUGGGCCCCCGGUCCUCCCCCCGCUGAGAAGCUUCUCCUCGGUUGCUUAGUGGCCGGAAUGUCCAUUGUGCCCGUAGCUUAGCAACAUGCUGCGGUCGCCCCCGCUGACCCUGCCCCGCAGCCGGCCGCUGGCAUUCCUCGGCAGGCCCACCCCUCCGCAGGCCGGGCCUCAUCCGCCUGAGUGUGUCCCAAGGCACAGAGCCGCCAGCAUCCUGUGUGCCCAGCACCCUGGGUGACUGAGGUUCCCAGCUCAGGCGGCCAUGGUUCUGCCAACUGCCACAUGCUGGCUACUUGCCCUGGUGGCACUCUUGGGAACCAUGAAAAGUCUGUGUUCAGAUCUUGUCACAUUCAGUGGUUCAUGCCCCUAUUUAGAUUCACUUUCCCGGCAAAUGUAAUGACAGUGACAGAAAGCAGCCGAGCUGCCUGCGGCCAGGUGGGGGAGAUGGACAGGAGGAGGCAGAGGGUUCACACAGGCACACACAUUGGUACAGGACUCCUGGAGCUGGACAGUGAAAUGGGUGUCAUCCAUUGUGUGUAAAUUAUACUGCAAUAAGAUGGAUUUCUAAGGAAAUAAAAGAAAGGAAAGAAGAAGAGUUGGAGAGAUUCUGGUUCCUCUGGCGUGACCGCUGGGCCCCCUACCCCCAGAGUUCCAGAUCCAGUAGUUCUGGGGCGGGGCCUGGAAUCUGCAUUUCCACUGAACUCACAGCGCACACUGAUGCCGCUGGUCCCGGGACCUCCUUUUGAGAACCUCAGCUCCAUGGACUUCACAAAUACCCGUGGCCAUAGUUUAGGAAUGGUUCUGUCACCCAGGACAUGAGAACCGCCUUGGUUUCUAAAGAUUAAAGAACCAAAACUAGUGUCUGGCA